AGAAGCUGACCUAAGACGACGAGAGCAA
rnacentral:sRNA from 1 species